GUUAAACGCAGCGUGAUGCGGAUCUGCCAUCGAUUUAAUACGUCUUCAUCCAAAUAGAUCUCCCUGAUCAAUUUCUUUUUAUGGGCACCGUAAAAAAAGAAAAUACUUUAUGGAGAAGUAAUCUCCACUUCCCGCUGACUGGGAGGAAGGGCAUUUAGGCGCGGGCCGUGCGGAAAGGACCAGCCGAGGGCCAAGCCGGAGCGGAAGGGGAGGACCGGCCAUCCUCGUCGCCCCCGCCCUCUGGAACUGGGCCCUCCGACAGUUUCGAGCCCCGGGUUCCUUCCCGUUCGCCCCCCUUCUGGGCGUUGUCGCCGUGAGGCCCGAUCUCUCCCUCCUGGAGCCCCCGAAGAGGCCCCUAAAAUCCUCGGAGUCGGGAAUGGACUGACGGCGGGGCGCGGGCAACGCCGCUCCGGUAAUUUCCAAAGCAACGGGGGGAGAAACGAGUUUUGCGGUUUGUAGAGAAAUAAAGCACUUGGCAGAGUGGACGGCUCCGUGACUUUGAACUUGGAUCGGCCCCUUUGAUUCCUGCGGAGAUGACAGAGCCAGGCCAAGCGAGCGAGCGGGCGGGGAAAGCGGUUGGCAGCGUGUCUGGAUUUCUCCUCUGAAAGAGCAGGAAAUCUCCAUCUCCACCCACCCGUCGUCCAUCCAUCUCUAUCCAACUCUCCGUCCAUCCGCCACCCAGCUCUCUCCAUCCGUCGGCGCGACCGUCCAUCCGCCCAUCUCUCUAGCCAUCCGGCCGCUCGGAUGCUACGUCUAGCAGAUUGCAGUGUGAAGCUGCAAUUUUUUGAAAAACAACAACAACAACAACAAAAAACCCUUAGCCGGUCCUCUCAGGUUGCGGACCCCUUAUCCACCCUCCCCCCCCCCCCAACCCCCGGGCCUGCCCGGUGAUGUGGCGGGGCAGGACUCAGUAAAACUAGAGGACAGGGCCAAGUCGGGACUAGUGGAAAAUAAAAAAAAGCUGCCUAUUGCCGCCUGGCCCCCAAAUGA